CAGAGGGUGCAAGCGUUGUUCGGAAUUAUUGGGCGUAAAGCGCGUGUAGGCGGCCUAGCAAGUCGGGCGUGAAAGCCCUCGGCUCAACCGAGGAAGUGCACCCGAAACUGCUGAGCUUGAGUGCCGGAGAGGAUGGCGGAAUUCCCCAAGUAGAGGUGAAAUUCGUAGAUAUGGGGAGGAACACCGGUGGCGAAGGCGGCCAUCUGGACGGUAACUGACGCUGAGACGCGAAAGCGUGGGGAGCAAACAGGAUUAGAUACCCUGGUAGUCCACGCCGUAAACGAUGAGAACUAGAUGUCGCGGGUGUUGACCCCUGCGGUGUCGCAGCUAACGCAUUAAGUUCUCCGCCUGGGAAGUACGGUCGCAAGAUUA
rnacentral:rRNA from 1 species